rnacentral:lncRNA from 1 species
CAGCGUUCUCCUUUCAUUUACAGGAUGAAAAGGCAGGUCUGAGGGAGCUGUGAACAUCACCUACCUACUGAGUGGGUCAGAAAGUCUCCCUUGAUCAGUGAUAAAGCCAUUUCAAAACAACAAGUGAGACUUCCUUUGAGCGCCAAGUACCGUGUUUUGUAGUUGGCCUCACUACCGCGCAGGCGGGCGGAGCGGCGUUUCAGCACCCUGGACAGCAUCACCAGACGCGGCGCGGGGGGGCGCUGGUGCUCGGUGCUGCCGGCUCCGGUGAGCAAGGCAAGGAAGCACCGCUCCUGCCAGUAGCUCGUCUUUCUCCCGUCUACCCUCUUGUUUCAGCCCCUUCCUCCUAGCUGUUUGUUGGGACAAUAAGAAGUUAUUGUUCGUACUUGAGUUUCUAGCGGAAUGCACACUAUGGCAAUCACAGCAAGGCUGUGCCCCUUAAGGUGUUUAUAAGGAUAUUGGGAGAUUAUCA